rnacentral:rRNA from 1 species
AUGCAAGUCGAGCGAAAAUAUAUUAAAGCUUGCUUUGAUAUAUUUUAGCGGCGGACGGGUGAGUAACACGUGGAUAAUCUACCUUUUACACAGGGAUAACAAUGAGAAAUCCUUGCUAAUACCGGAUAAGCUACCGUUGCCGCAUGGCAAAGGGAGAAAAGAUUUAUCGGUAAAAGAGGAGUCCGCGUCUGAUUAGCUAGUUGGUAGGGUAAGAGCCUACCAAGGCGACGAUCAGUAGCCGGCCUGAGAGGGUGAUCGGCCACAUUGGGACUGAGACACGGCCCAAACUCCUACGGGAGGCAGCAGUGGGGAAUAUUGCACAAUGGAGGAAACUCUGAUGCAGCAACGCCGCGUGAAUGAAGAAGGUUUUCGGAUUGUAAAGUUCUAUCGAUGGGGAAGAAAGAAAUGACUGUACCCAAGUAAGAAGUCCCGGCUAACUGCGUGCCAGCAGCCGCGGUAAUACGUAGGGGGCAAGCGUUAUCCAGAAUUACUGGGUGUAAAGGGUGAGUAGGUGGCUAGAUAA